AAUUUUGCAGUAAAACAAACAAAUGGAUCUGCUCAGGAAUUUCUCCCCAAACUUCAAUAGUGACAGAUAGCAUGGAAGUGUAAUUGAUGAACCAUCGUGCAGAUGUUUACAGAGCUGUUAAGAUUUACGUCUGAAGAUUGCUCAACCCUGAAGCUGCAGUGCUUUUGUGAGGAAGAAGCUGACAGGACAUGGGGGAAAACCUGCAGCUGAAUUUUGUGAAAGAUGUUCCUCGUGUUCUUCAUAUGGAUGACUGCAGCAGUGAUAGUCUCAUCAGUGCCACACAUCUCCCUCUGAUCCUUGUACUGGACUGACUGUAGGUCAGCAAGUCUGCUUUCCUGGAUGUAUUAUUGCAACACGCAAAUAGCCAGCCUGGCCUCAUAAACUGAGGAUGAACAGAAGGAAGUUUGCCACAAUGAAUCACUCAAUGCUCUGUUGUGGGGUCACACAGGCUGGGGAAGUUGUGCAAAGCUGAAGACUGUGGAGCAGCUGGAAUCAAGAAAAUGAGGAAAAGGGUUUUCUGUCACCUUGGGAAAGAUUAUUCGACCAGAAGGUCUCUUGGAUCCUAGGCUUCAACUCUGCACAGGGACAUCACAAUGAAGAGUCCAUGAGGGACAGUCAGGUGUUUCAGUAUCGCUCUUAUGGGAACCAUGUGAGUACCUACAAUAGUUACUUCCCUUUCGCCACAACAGACCCUGCUCUGAGGAAGGUGGUUUCAUAUCUGAACAGAUGAAUUGUAUUUUGUCACUGUGGGUUGGCCCCAAGGCCAGUGUUCAGUGGGCAACAGGAUACCAGGUUGUCACAAAGAACCAAAUGUGAAAUGCCGAGUCAUACUGCUAAAGUGGAGAAAGUUGCAGUGCUUCCAUCUUGUGACAUACGAUGUGUACUCAUUACUUGCCUUCAUCCUCCUCAGCAUAGCCUCAGGACACCAGAAUCUUGAGCCAUGACUAGGUUUCAGAGGUGCUGAAGUAAUGCAAGCACUAUUGCUACCAAUAACUGGCUUGAUUUUGUUUUAAUAGCAGUCUUCUCUGCAAAACCACAAACCCAAGGUAAUUGCACAAAUCAGGGGAAUAUGGAAUUGUUACAAUAAUUAGACCAGGACAGCAGCUUCAGCCCAGAAAAACAGCUUUGCAUACAACUGUCCUGGAGAAAGCUCAGUCUGUUUCACUAGGACCAAAUAUUAAUAUCAUAGCCAGCUCCAGAACUGGCUUUUAAAAACUUACGUUACUGACUACUGUUGUCUAAAGAGCUGCACUGCCAGUGCUUGAUAUUAUCUCCUUCUCUUCUCUUGCCCAACUGAGCUGAGACCAGCAGCUCCAAGCUAAUUGUGACUGCCCCCUAUAUCUCCCCUGGCCUGGGAAGUCAGAGGUUGAAAACCUCCUUCCAUGCUCUCGAGAGAAUGUCCCAUCUAAUGUGUGCUUGCGCACUGAUUUAUUUGGAUAAUCAUAGGUAAAGGAAAAUGUAUGCAUACCUGCCAGAUAAAAUAGUUUGGGAAUAGUAGUUACGUUUUUAUUAAUGGCACCUUUGAGUUCUUGAAAUUCUCUGUGACUAAUGGGUUUCUUAUGUCCCAAUAACAUUUGUUAGCUCUACCUGUAGAAGUUGAUUUUCCAGUUUUUCUCAUUCAACUCUUAGGGAUACUGACCUGACAGCUUUGCUCUGCCAAGUGACAGAAAUGCCUGAUUUUUGCACCUGCUGCUCCCUUGCCUGGUUAUAAACUAUGACUGCUAUCACACUGCUUUAAGCCAUAGCUGGUGACUCCUUACAGGGCUGAGGUUAGGCUUUUGAA